GAAAGGACGACUAGUUUCCGCGAAAAUAUAAAGCUUUGAAAUAGUGUUAGGUGUAUGUUCAAAAGUGUAUAAAUUGUAUUUCAAUUUAUUAUUAAGUUAGUUUAAAUGAUCUAUCGUUCGAAUAACGCUAGUGAUUUAUUUUAAGCCCGAUGACAUCAUUUUGACCUCCGCCUUGAAGAAGCGAAACGAGUCGAUAUAUUUUUUUUUUUUAUUCUUGUUUUAUUGCAUUGCACAACCACUAGCAGCGUUAAGCGCAUGAAGAGGAAUAGUGUUUACUUUUGAUGGUUUUCCAGAAUUGGCCGAAAGUGCGUUUAACGAGAUAGUUUUAAGGCAGGAAAAGUGCGUAGGAUUUUGUUCCAGUAUUAAUCUGUGACAAGGCAGAAGCCAGAUUUAUUCGGAUAGUCGUUAGAAGUUGAAAAAGAGUCCUUCUCUUCGAAGAUUCGAAACACCUUAGCUAGCAGCUAGAGAAUUGUGUAGUGAAGUUUUAUUGGGUAGAGUUUUAAUGUGUUUGAAAGCUGUGAAGUGUUGCAUCGGAUAGUUUUAAUCUCCCUAUAGUUAAGGUGCUAUCCAGUUAGUUCCUAAAUAAAAUCUUGGGAAGAAAAGCAACAGCAUUAUGUGGACAGUUAGUUGCCGGCGGGCCAGUGGUUUGGCCCUGCUGGUCAUCCUCAAUGCGGUCAUCGUGCACAGUAUAAUUCAUUCCCCGCCUCGGAUCAUUAAGCAACCACCCACGGAUGAAAUGCUGUUCCAGGUGGCCCAGAGCGGCGAAAACGACAAACCUUUCAUCAUCGAGUGCGAGGCAGAAGGAGAACCUGCUCCAAGGUA